rnacentral:rRNA from 1 species
UGGGGAAUUUUGGACAAUGGGCGAAAGCCUGAUCCAGCAAUGCCGCGUGUGUGAAGAAGGCCUUCGGGUUGUAAAGCACUUUUGUCCGGAAAGAAAUCCUUGGCUCUAAUACAGUCGGGGGAUGACGGUACCGGAAGAAUAAGCACCGGCUAACUACGUGCCAGCAGCCGCGGUAAUACGUAGGGUGCAAGCGUUAAUCGGAAUUACUGGGCGUAAAGCGUGCGCAGGCGGUUUGCUAAGACCGAUGUGAAAUCCCCGGGCUCAACCUGGGAACUGCAUUGGUGACUGGCAGGCUAGAGUAUGGCAGAGGGGGGUAGAAUUCCACGUNUAGCAGUGAAAUGCGUAGAGAUGUGGAGGAAUACCGAUGGCGAAGGCAGCCCCCUGGGCCAAUACUGACGCUCAUGCACGAAAGCGUGGGGAGCAAACAGGAUUAGAUACCCUGGUAGUCCACGCCCUAAACGAUGUCAACUAGUUGUUGGGGAUUCAUUUCCUUAGUAACGUAGCUAACGCGU